rnacentral:sRNA from 1 species
AUAUUACUAUUUUAAACUUCAAUGGUCUUUUUAAUUAGUAUUCUUAUCCAUACUAAAUCAUACUAAAUUAAAUUUUGAAUGACACAUGUAAACAUCUGAUCGUUUGACUUGACAUGUGGCACGAUCGUAUGAGUUAGUAACUUUGAAAACCAUACUUUAUAUAAUAAGACUAGAUAAGAACCGCCUAAAUAGGCGGGUGUAUGAUAUAAAUUUAU